rnacentral:misc_RNA from 1 species
UCGAGCGUCAUUUCACCAGUCAAGCCUCGCUUGGUCUUGGGCGCUGCGGCCCCACCGCGCGCCCCAAUGUCUCCGGCUGAGCCGUCCGUCUCAAAGCGUUGUGGCAACUCAAUUCGCUUGUGGGAUUGGAGGGUUUGUCGCCGUUAAACACACCAAACUAGAUUGACCUCGGAUCAGGUAGGGAUACCCGCUGAACUUAA